rnacentral:rRNA from 1 species
UACGGAGGGCGCGAGCGUUGUCCGGAAUCACUGGGCGUAAAGGGCGCGUAGGCGGCGGGCCAAGCGUGCGGUGAAAGCCCGGGGCUCAACCCCGGGUCGGCCGUGCGGACUGGCGCGCUCGAGCACUGUAGGGGCAGGCGGAACUCCGGGAGUAGCGGUGGAAUGCGUAGAGAUCCGGAAGAACACCGGUGGCGAAGGCGGCCUGCUGGGCAGUGGCUGACGCUGAGGCGCGACAGCGUGGGGAGCAAACAGG